ACAGAACAAAUGCUAUCUGCCCUCACAAGGUUUACAUUCUAAGGACAUCGUGACUCAGAUAUACAUCAAGACCAGCAGACAAAAGGAACGGGAUGGACACAGAUUUAUUCAGGACAGGAGACAACAGCAACACAGAUCACAGUGACAGAAUGAGAACUAGGGACCCAAUUGAUUUUCAAUGCCGCCAGCACAGUGUCUGAGUAUACCAAUUUCAUCCAACCCUUGACAACAUAAGGCCACCAGAAGUCUUCAAAGGAAGUCAUUUUAAAGUAGAAAAAGGAGCUAAGGCUGAUGAAAACAGACUAUCGAUGAUUAAAGAGGAUGAACUCAGUAUGUCCGCUGCACCUACCAGGAUAGCCUUCAAGGCCAUACGCUCGCCACUUGCUGACUGGCUGAAGUCCUGCUCUCCGUGCAUCGUGCUCACUGACUGAGGACACGCUUAGCUGAGAUCUGACGACCUAGUAAGAAGGAAAAAAAAG